AUUUUCACAAAAUUGUCUUUAGAGAGAAAUUAGAAUGCUAAGGAGGGAGGGGGGGAAAUCAUAUGUAUAGCUUUAUCUCCUCUUGCUUUUAUUAUGGAAUUUUGAGAAAAGAGUAGAAAGCAUAUUUGAUGGGCUCUCUCUAUGACUGUAGAUACUACCUACACUGUGAGCAGUGAAAAGACAGUGAUGCAGAAUUGUCCUUUUAUGGAUUUCUCAUUGGCCUUCUUGCUUCGGUGACUUGAACGAGGAAUAAAACAAUACUCUUCUCCUGGAACAGGGUGGUUUUGAAUGUGGGUGUAGAACCAGAUUGGUGAGUGGUGGUGUCGGUCAAAUGCCUAGUUGUGUUUAAGAUUUAUAUGUCAACAUUGUGGGUGUUUUGCCCACACACUAUGGGGUAACAACCCAUAUUUGAUUUUAAUUUUUUUCCAAUGGUAUUGAGGGUGUGUGUCUGAGUGUUUGUGACUUAGUGAUUGUCUGGGCAAAAGAGGUAGGUCAUUUGGAGUUACUUGUCAUUCUGAUGUUGGCCAGUUUCUGUCUGCCUCCCUAUGCCUUGUGAAGCACAAUAGAAACAAUAAUUUAGAAAGCAAGUGAUCAGCUUCCAAGGGCAAAAUGCUAGUAGAUUCCAGACUUUAAAUGUAUGAUUUGUGGGGGUUGCCAGAUAUUACAUUCAGAAAUCCAAAUUCACAAAGUACUAGAGUUAAACUUGUCUACACCUACAGAGAAAAGAGACCCAGAUCAUGGACAGAUGGUGAGUUUUUACACCUUUCUGUUGCUAAAUUGGAGAAAGUAGAUGCAUUGACAGACUCUUGAGUUCCGCCCUAUUGUGUCAUUUCUGCUUCUCCCAUAAGCAGCAGUGACUAAGGAAUGAAGAGAUUGUCUAAUAUGUUUUUCUCUUGGGAGUAGAUGUUUCUGCAUGAGAGAGCAUCGGGGUUCCUCCUAACAGUAUGUGUCUUAGUAGAAACUGG
rnacentral:lncRNA from 1 species